rnacentral:rRNA from 1 species
AAGGUAGCAUAAUAAUUUGUCUUAUAAUAGAAGGCUGGUAUGAAAGAGUUGACGUUACUGAGGCUUUUUUUAAAAAAUAAUUGAAUUUAAUAUCUACAUAAAAAAGUGUAGCUUUCCAAAGGGACGAUAAGACCCUAUAAAGCUUAAAUCGAAAAUCUUGGUUAUUAUAAAGUUUUUUAAAGCUGGGUAAUUGAUUUAGCUGGGGCGGUAAUUAUUAUUCUAUAAUAAAUUUAACACUAUUUGUGGGAGUAAAGAUCUUUUAAAGAUUUAGAAUAAGCUACUUUAGGGAUAACAGCAUAAUUUUUUAGAAUAGAUCGAAUAGAUUAAUAAGACUUAUGACCUCGAUGUUGAAUUGAGGGGCUUUUCUUUAGCAGAAGAAAGAAAGGAGGGGUCUGUUCGACCUUUAA